rnacentral:rRNA from 1 species
GAUGAACGCUGGCGGCGUGCCUAAUACAUGCAAGUCGAGCGAACGGACGAGAAGCUUGCUUCUCUGAUGUUAGCGGCGGACGGGUGAGUAACACGUGGAUAACCUACCUAUAAGACUGGGAUAACUUCGGGAAACCGGAGCUAAUACCGGUUGAUAUUUUGAACCGCAUGGUUCAAAAGUGAAAGACGGUCUUGCUGUCACUUAUGGAUGGAUCCGCGCUGCAUUAGCUAGUUGGUAAGGUAACGGCUUACCAAGGCAACGAUGCAUAGCCGACCUGAGAGGGUGAUCGGCCACACUGGAAGUGAGACACGGUCCAGACUCCUACGGGAGGCAGCAGUAGGGAAUCUUCCGCGAUGGGCGAAAGCCUGACGGAGCAACGCCGCGUGAGUGAUGAAGGUCUUCGGAUCGUAAAACUCUGUUAUUAGGGAAGAACAUAUGUGUAAGUAACUGUGCACAUCUUGACGGUCCCUAAUCAGAAAGCCACGGCUAACUACGUG